GAUGAACGCUGGCGGCGUGCUUAAUACAUGCAAGUCGAGCGAACAGACGAGGAGCUUUUUCCUCUGUCGUUAGCGGCGGACGGGUGAGUAGCACGAGGAUAACAUACUUCUAAGAUCUGGUGAACUUCGGGAUACCGGAGCUAAUACCGCGUAAUAUAUUGAACCUCUUGGUUCAAUAGUGUAAGACGGGUUUGCUUUCACUGAUAGAUGGGCCCGCGCCGGAUUAGCUAGUUGGUAAGGUAACGGCUUACCAAGGCAGCGAUGCGUAGCCGCCCUGAGAGGGUGAUCGGCCGCCAUAGAACUGAGACACGGUCCAGACUCCUACGGGAGGCAGCAGUAGGGAGUCUUACGCCAUGGGCGAAAGCCUGACGGAGCAACGCCGCGUGGGUGAUGAAGGUGUUCGGAUCGUAAAACUCUGUUAUUAGGAAAGAACAAAUGUGUAAGUAACUAUGCACGGCUUGACGGUACCUGAUCAGAAAGCCACGGCUAACUACGUG
rnacentral:rRNA from 1 species